GUGUCAGCCGCCGCGGUAAGACAGAGGGUGCAAACGUUGCUCGGAAUCACUGGGCGUAAAGGGCGUGUAGGCGGGAAGGAAAGUCAGAUGUGAAAUCCCUGGGCUCAACCCAGGAACUGCAUUUGAAACUCCCUUUCUUGAGUGUCGGAGAGGAAAGUGGAAUUCCUGGUGUAGAGGUGAAAUUCGUAGAUAUCAGGAGGAACACCGGUGGCGAAGGCGGCUUUCUGGACGACAACUGACGCUGAGACGCGAAAGCGUGGGGAGCAAACAGGAUUAGAAACCCUGGUAGUCC
rnacentral:rRNA from 1 species